rnacentral:rRNA from 1 species
AGUGAACGCUGGCGGCGUGCCUAAUACAUGCAAGUCGAACGAAGUUGCGCACGGGUGAGUAAUAUAUAGUUAAUCUGCCCUACACAGAGGAACAACAGUUGGAAACGACUGCUAAUACCUCAUAGUGUAGGAUGAGUCGAUAGCGUAUCAGCUAGUUGGUAAGGUAAUGGCUUACCAAGGCUAUGACGGGUAACUGGUCUGAGAGGAUGAUCAGUCACAUUGGAACGGAGAAACGGUCCAAACUCCUACGGGAGGGAGAAGUAAGGAAUAUGGCGGAAUGGGUGACGCCGCGACGCCGCAUCGGUGCGUGGGGGAUUAAGGCUUUCGGGUUGUAAUCCUCUGUCGCUAUGGAAUAUAUUUUGGUGGGUUGACGGUAGCUGGAUAAGAAGCGCCGGCUAACUACGUGCCAGCAGCCGCGGUAAUAC